rnacentral:rRNA from 1 species
UACGUAGGGUGCGAGCGUUGUCCGGAAUUACUGGGCGUAAAGAGCUCGUAGGUGGUUUGUCGCGUUGUCCGUGAAAACUCACAACUCAAUUGUGGGCGUGCGGGCGAUACGGGCAGACUGGAGUACUGCAGGGGAGACUGGAAUUCCUGGUGUAGCGGUGAAAUGCGCAGAUAUCAGGAGGAACACCGGUGGCGAAGGCGGUUCUCUGGGAAUAUCCUGACGCUGAGGAGCGAAAGUGUGGGGAGCGAACAGG